rnacentral:lncRNA from 1 species
CUGCAGUGUACGCUGCCAGCGUGCUUUCUUGCCAGAGUUAGCAAACAUCAGUGCCACGACAAACAGUGGAGUGCUGACCAUGCAAUCCAGAAGGUGGCCGAGGCAAGCAUCCCAUAGGAUGUGCUUAUUCAGGGAGAAGAAAUAAGCAUCUGUAGCCAACGCAAAUGAAGCAUCUUCAAAAAGCAGCGCUACAAGGAUGUGAGCAG